AAAAGAGAGUCCAUUAGAUAAGGAAGACUUAGCGUGAGAUGUAUGGCUCAACUGCGUCUCCUUGGAGAGCACUCCUGAACACAUUGUUGCGCUAGCUCUUGCUUCUGGGGUUCAAUGUUAAAUGGCUGCUUCUAAGGAAUUGUUAGUCAUUUCCAUUAGUAAGCAACAAUAUUGAUAAAAGGAAAGAAAAUCAUAUUCAACGGCUAUGUAUUUUGAACUUUGCUUCUCAUGGAAAAUAAAUCAAUCAGUCAAAGAACAAAGAAGAAAAGUUAAUCAGUCAGCCUUGUCAAAGAUUCUCAAGAGCGCAAGAAUGGAAAGAGAGCUAAUCACGGCUAGAGAGCAAAUCCAGAAGAAUCUGCAGAAGCUCAAAUCAAGGAGAAAUGGAGGAAGCAAUUCAUCAAGAUUAACAAUGAAUCUAGCUACCAUUUCAAGCUAGAUUCAUGAGACUACCAUUGAGUCUUUCUCUUAGAUGUAUAUGUCUCACAAGGAAAGGACUCCUAAAAUUGCUGCCAUACAAUCCCAGAAGACAAAGAAACAAAAGACUCGUCAAGCUAUAAAGGAAGAAGUAGAAGAACAUCCAAAUGCACGCAACUACAUCAUUUGUUUCUAAGCCUUUCUAAUUCUUAGUACAAACAUUAUAUUCCCGAGUCUACAAGUGUCACAAAAGAUAGGAAGAGUUAGAACACAAAACGAGAGUUGUGUCAAUAUUGGAAAGUAUCAUUGUUGAUGUAUAUCGUUGGUGGUGAACGUAUUAAAACCAUCACUGCUGUAAACAUUCAUUAAAGAUCUAAGAGAACCCUUGUGACCCAAGGGAAUUGGACGUAGGUACUACACCG